rnacentral:rRNA from 1 species
CCUACGGGAGGCAGCAGUGAGGAAUAUUGGUCAAUGGUCGGGAGACUGAACCAGCCAAGCCGCGUGAGGGAUGAAGGUACAGAGUAUCGUAAACCUCUUUUGUCAGGGAACAAAGGCGGGGACGUGUCCCCGGAUGAGUGUACCUGAAGAAAAAGCAUCGGCUAACUCCGUGCCAGCAGCCGCGGUAAUACGGAGGAUGCGAGCGUUAUCCGGAUUUAUUGGGUUUAAAGGGUGCGCAGGCGGUCUGUUAAGUCAGCGGUAAAAGCCCGGGGAUCAACCCCGGCCCGCCGUUGAAACUGGCAGUCUCGAGUUGGAGAGAAGUAUGCGGAAUGCGCGGUGUAGCGGUGAAAUGCAUAGAUAUCGCGCAGAACUCCGAUUGCGAAGGCAGCAUGCCGGCUCCACACUGACGCUGAGGCACGAAAGCGUGGGUAUCGAACAGGAUUAGAUACCCUUGUAGUC